rnacentral:rRNA from 1 species
UACAGAGGGGGCAAGCGUUGUUCGGAAUUACUGGGCGUAAAGGGCGCGUAGGCGGCCUUCUAAGUCGAACGUGAAAUCCCCGGGCUCAACCCGGGAACUGCGUCCGAUACUGGAAGGCUUGAAUCCGGGAGAGGGAUGCGGAAUUCCAGGUGUAGCGGUGAAAUGCGUAGAUAUCUGGAGGAACACCGGUGGCGAAGGCGGCAUCCUGGACCAAUAUUGACGCUGAGGAGCGAAAGCUAGGGGAGCAAACGGG